rnacentral:rRNA from 1 species
CGCGUAGGCGGACAGUUUAGUCAGAGGUGAAAGCCCAGGGCUCAACCUUGGAAUUGCCUUUGAUACUGGCUGUCUUGAGUUCGGGAGAGGUGAGUGGAAUGCCGAGUGUAGAGGUGAAAUUCGUAGAUAUUCGGCGGAACACCAGUGGCGAAGGCGACUCACUGGCCCGAUACUGACGCUGAGGCGCGAAAGCGUGGGGAGCAAACA